rnacentral:rRNA from 1 species
CAGCCGCCGCGGUAAUGCGAAGGGUGCAAGCGUUAAUCGGAAUUACUGGGCGUAAAGCGUGCGUAGGCGGUGAGUUAAGUCUGCUGUGAAAUCCCCGGGCUCAACCUGGGAAUGGCAGUGGAUACUGGCUCGCUAGAGUGUGUCAGAGGAUGGUGGAAUUCCCGGUGUAGCGGUGAAAUGCGUAGAGAUCGGGAGGAACAUCAGUGGCGAAGGCGGCCAUCUGGGACAACACUGACGCUGAGGCACGAAAGCGUGGGGAGCAAACAGGAUUAGAUACCCCUGUAGUCCCUGUCUCUUAUAA